rnacentral:lncRNA from 1 species
AAAUGGGCAAAUGUGCCAAUGACUGAGAGUCAACUCUCCUUGGUGAGUGCCUCAGAACUUAGGAAAAGAGAACAGCGCAUGUCUCUCUCAUGAAGAUGACAGAGGACAAAAGCAAGCAGAAAUAUACAAGGAUUUGCGUACUCUAUUAUGAAUUUCUCUUUGAGAAAUAAUACCUGUGAGAAUGCUGCUCCUUCAAUUAGGUUCAGGAUUGGAGGAAAAAUCAUAUAAAAUAGUUGGUAAUCUUUCUUCUCUAGAAAGUGGCAACGAUAUAUAGUACUGUUGAACCAUGCCUGCCAGUGUCAAUUCCUGAAAUGGCAAAAGAAAAGGGAAGAAGAAAAGAUAAUGCUAUAAUGAUCAGCUCCCAAACCUCUACUUAAAGCAUAAAUGGAGAAAAGAAAGCUCGGUGUAGUGCUACGGAACACUAUUCGGCAUUAAGCAGAGUAAAUAGCUUAGUCAACAGUGUGGGCCAUUGUCAGUCUUUAUUUGUCAUCUCUCACUGAGUGAUCACAACUCAGCCUCUUAUGUGUCCUGGAAGUGUCCAAUCUCCAAGUUAACUAUUUAUUAAGAGGAGAUGCAUCUUAAAAGUAAUGCCUCAUAUUUAGGGGAAUUAUAUUAAAGAUAUCUCAUUUUGUCAACCCUGCUAUUCGUUCCAUCCUUUCCAUGUAACACUAAUAAGAGGACACUCUACUGCACUGGUGUCUCAUCUGUGAUGAUUCAAAUGUUCUGUUUUCUUCAUGAUACUGUGUUGUAGACAAAAUUAUAAAGCAAGUAAAUUUGUGGGAGUUUUGGCAAUCGUAGAAAGCCAGUAAAGAAAAAUUUUCUAAGCCAUUUGAAUUAUAACAAAUUACACACAUAUUAAAGCUACACAAAUAAAAUAACUUUAUUUGGGUAUUUGGAUUGCAGGCUCUUGAAAAAUUUCAAAUUUGUCAGUCUUCCAAGUUGCAUAAAAGGCAUAAAAGUCUUUUUUAUUUAAUGUAGUGCUAUAAUUCUCCAGCUGAUAGAAUCAAAGCGUAAUUGCCUAAAUGUAUUUUCUAGUCAGUGUUGAAUCUCUGCCUAAUUUUCACAAUUAUUAGCCCUAAAUGACAAUACCAGUUGAUACAGUCUCAGGGAAUCCAAGCUAAUUUUAAUGUUCAUUCAAGCAAGACAGAAUCAUGAAGGUAUUCUCUUGGGGAAAAAUUCCUAUUAAUACAUUAUAAAAGCAAAUUGUGAGCUCUAAUUGUCAUGAUUUUGAGUUUAGUGUGCAAUGCUGCUCUCCUCUAUUAGCAGAUGAUGAAAAACUUCAUUGAAAAUGAAUGUGCAUGUGUACUUCACCUGAAAAUAAAAACAAUGUGUGUGUUUCUGAAAGUAUAUUAAAAUUAUAUUAGAGAUGAUUAACAACAAAUUGGAACUUAGACAGCUCCCACAAAGUAAUAUCAUUGUAAUCAUAUCUAUUUUGUAAAGGUCCCCUUUGUAGAGAAUAAAACAAAUUAGGUGUGUGUUACAGGUUGAAUUAUGUUCUCUCCCAAAAUUCCUAUGUUGACGUUUUAACCCCAGGUACCUUAGAAUGUGAAACCUUGUUUAGAAAUAGUGCUUGUUGUUGAAGAUGUAUUUAGUUAAGUUAGGAUGAAGUCAUAUUAGAAUAAAGUGGCCCCCUAAUCCUAUAUGACCGGUGCACUUAUAAAAGGAGGAAAAUAUCCAUUCUUCAGUCCAUGGGUCAAGAAAUAAUUCUGCCUUUCAUAUCCUAUUACUUAAGAAAUACAUUUCUUAAUGCUAUAGCUGACAUAGAUAGUGAUUCCUCUUAUGGAUCUGGGUAAAGUACAUCAAAAACCUUCUGGAAAGGAUUCACCAUUCUAGGUGCCAUUAACAACACUCAUGAUUCAUGGUAGGAAGUCAAAAUAUGAACAUUAACAGAAGUUUGGGAGAAGCUGAUUCUAGUCCAUGUGGGUGAUUUUGAGGGGAUUAAAACUUCAGUGGAGGAAGUAACUGCAGAUGUGGUAGAAAUAGCAAGAGAACUAGAAUUAGAAGUGGAACCUGAAGAUGAGACUGAAUUGCUAUAAUCGCAUUAUAAAACUUGAAUGGAUGAGGGGCUGCUUCUUAUGUAUGAGCAAAACAAGUGAUUUCUUCAGAUGAAAUCUACCCUUGGUAAAGAUGUUGCAAACAUUGCUGAAGUGACAACAUAGAAUUUAAAAUAUUACAUAAAUUUACCUGAUAAAAUAGUGGCAGGGUGUGAGAGGACUGCCUCUAAUUUUGAAAGAAGUUUCUACUGUGGGUAAAAUGCUACCAAACAACAUCAUAUGCUAUAGAGAAAUCUUUUGUGAAAGGAAGAGUCAAUCAGUUGAUGCUGCAAGCCUCAUUGUUAUCUUAUUUUAAUAAAUUGCCAUAGCCACCUCAACUUUCAGCAAUUACCACCCUGAUCAGUCAGCAAUCAUCAAUAUAGAUGCAAGACUCUCCACUAGCAAGAUGAUUAUGACUCACUGAAGGCUCAGCUGAUUCUUAGCAUCUUAGUAAUAUUUUUUAAAUAAAGUAUAUACAUUUUUAGACAUACCGCCAUUACCCACUUAAUAGACUACAGCAUAGUGUAAAUAUAACUUUUAUAUACACUGGGAAACAAAAAUAUAUAACUUAUAUUUUGAUAUUUGCUUUAUCAGUAGUAUCUCCAAGAUAUGUCAGUGUGUGCAGUCAUGUGUCACUUAACAAGGGCGAUAUGUUCUGAGGAAUGUGUCAUUAGGGUAUUUUGUCAUUGUGGGAACAUCAUAGAGUAUAUCUACACAAACAUAGACAGCCUCUCCUACUACACACCUGGACUAUUUGGUAUUGCCCAUUGUGACUAGGCUGUAAACCUGUGCAGCUUGUUACUGUACUGAAUAGUGUAGGCAAUUGUAGCACAAUGGUAAAAUGGUAUUUGUACGUCUAAACACUUCUAGGCUAUCUCUCAGGGUUUUUUAAAAAUAGUUUUAGGUGUUACAUUUUAGCCUUUAAUCCAAGUUGAUUUCUGUAUAUGGUAUAAGGAAGAGGCCCAGUUUUAAUCUUUUGUGUAUGGCUAACCAGUUAUCCUAGCACUAUUUAUUGAAUAAGAAGUCCUCUUCUCAUUGCUUAUUUUGUCAACUUUUGUGAAACAUCACAUGGUUAUCAGUGUUGUGGCAUUAUUUCUGGGCUCCCUAGUCUGUUCCAUUGACCUGUGUGUCUGUUUUUGUACCUGUAUCAUGCUGUUUUGGUUAUUGUAACCUUAUAGUAUACUUUGAGGUUCAGUAACGUGAUGCCUGUAGCUUUGUUCUUUUUGCUUAGAAUUGUCUUGACUAUUUGGUCACUUUUUUAGUUCCAUAUGAAUUUUGAAAAAGUUUACACAGCCCUAAAAAGGAAUGAGACCAUACCCUUGGCAGCAACAUGGAUGAAGUUGUAGGCCACUAUCCUAAAUGAACUAACACAGGAACAGAAAACCCGAAUACCACAUGUUCUCACUUAUAAGUGGGAGCUAAACAUUGAGUGCACAUGGAUACAAAGAAGAUGACAACAGACACCAGGGCCUACUUGAGAGUCAGGGGUGGGAGGAGGGAGAGGGUUGAAAACUACCUAAUGGGCACUAUGCUUAUUAGCUGGGUGAUGAAAUAAUCUGUAUACCAAACCUCUGUGGCAUGCAAUUUACCUAUAUAACAAACCUGCACAUAAACCCCUGAACCUAAAAUAAAAAUAAAAGCAAAUAAACAUAUCUAAACAUAGUAAAGAUACAGUAUUAUCAUAUUAUGGGAUCACCAUCAUAUAUGCAGUUCAUCAUUGAUCAAAAUGUCAUUAUGUGGCUCAUAUCUGUAUUAGAUUAUCUCUAUUUUCUCUGCUCAAAUGAAAGCAUGCUGUGCAAGUUUUUAUACUGUGUAUUUGGAAAAUUUGCCACGUUGAUUAGUAAAAUGUUGCCUCAUUCUUUUUGAUGACUCUAUAUUCCAUUGUUUGAAUGCAUCAUAAAUUAUGUAACUAUCCCUAUUAAUGGAUAUUAUUGCUUAAGAUAUGUUCUAUUAUGAAAGUGCUUAGGAGAGUUUAGAAAUGACAAGAAUGACAUGGAACAUGAAGAAGAGGUUAUGUAAUAAGAAAUAAACAUCAGAUUGGCCUGCAAUAUCUUCUUUGCAACACUGAAUUCCAGAAGGCAGUGAGGCAAUGUUUGCUGUAUGUUAAUGGAAAGGAUGUAACCUCACAUUUUAUAUAUAGUAAAUUGUUCAAACACGUACACUAUAAAGGUAUAAUGCCCAUGAAAAGAACAAUUCUCGGAAACAUGUUAAUAGCUGUGUUUUAUUUUCCAAAGGUUCCUGCAAUAAUAUUGCCCCUUGAGUAUGGGUGGGCUUGUGACCUGCUCAGUGCUAAGGAAAUGCAGUGGAAAUGAUGCUGUGUAACUUCUGAGGCCAAGUUAUAAAAGAUCAUGCAUCUUUUGCCUUGUUAGAAAAGUUUGCUGACGCCUGAUAUGGAGCACUAGAAAGAAAUUAUUUUUCCAAGCAUCAACCCGGAAGUCCCAGCAUACCGAGGGUGGCAGACAUCAUUUCUUCAAUGAACUUAGUAUUUAGAAAGAUAUCUUCACUCCAAGCAUCAAGUCUUUUCUGUCCUGCAAAAGUCUUAAGUCAAACCAGAAUCCACUAGUAGAGGGCACCUUUGGAUUCAACAGUAAAAGGAGAAUCUACAAAACCAGCUCAUCAAAAGGGGCAGUGAUGGGUAUAGAAGCCUGACCUUGCUCUAAGUUCAAGCAAUGAUUAAUCUAGCUUCCCUCCUGGUGGGUGACUGAGGCCUUUGCCUGAGGACAACUUUAAAGAGAUAUUGAAUGAAGCUAUGAUACCUGUAGCAGUUACUGCCAUUUUGGACCCAUAAACUGACAAUCCUUAAACAUUACCAGGAGGGCAGAGCGGAAAGAACAUUGAUGUCAUCACUGAGUUGCUGGAUUACCUUACUCUAGAAAUAGCCAACUCUGCAUGUUUGGUUAUUUUUUUAAAAAGUCUUCUUUAUUAUUUACAUCAUUUUGAAUGGGCUCUAACUCUAGCUCUUAUAGUAAAAAGCAUUUGAACUGAUACAAAUAAUUAUCUCCAUAUGGUUAUUUUGAGAAUUAAAUGAGAUAACACAUAAAAUGUAUGCUUGGGACAACGUCAUACAUAACACUCAAGAGUACAUAUUGUUAGUAUUAUUGAUGUUGUUGAUGUUAAAGCUGUUACUUCCUGCAAUGAUCUUGCAAUGCAUCAGGUUUUGACUUUAGUUUUGGGCAAAAUUAUGAGGCUUGAUUAGGAAAACAUGAUGAAAAUUUUAUUUCCUACAGCCCAUUUUCUUCUUUCAGCAUGUCUUUUACUUACUUUCAUGCCCCUUUGAGUCUCCCCAAUCAUCUAGAAAGGGGAUCUACUAGUGAUGGCAACAAAGGAGCAUGGACUGCUUAAUAAGGCAAUUUUUAACCCAAAAGAAUAAAUCCCAGCGUUAGAAUUCCAAACACAAUAUCAAGUUGUGGGUAAGAAUUUGGAGUAAGCAGGACUUCUCUACAUCUCCAAAAUGUUAUCACACAAGCCUCUACCUGUAUGUAAAGCCAAACUUUCCAGUAUACAAUUGGGCACUAAAUUCCAGAUAGUUUUUUUUAUCUGGUCAUGGCCUUGUAAGAAAAGAAUUCUCCUUUCCUGUUUAAUGUUAACAUUUAAUAACUAUCAGGUGGUGACCUGGGCACUGCAGAUCAUUAUCUGUUGUCAGUGACAGUGCUGUUCAUUUUCAAACCAGUAAGAGAAGUUUUUUUUUCCUUUUCGUAUCCGUAAAAUUUGUGAGGGAUUUAAAACUUGAAAAAUGUGGGUUUUUCUUGCAUUUCCAAUGGACUAGGUCUUUACAAUCAUUAACUGUUUUAAAGUUGAGAAGAGCUGCUAAAUUCUUCCGAGCGUGAAAAAAGAUGGGCAUGUGCUGUAAAUUGACAUAAAAAAAGUGGCAGCUUUGAAAGUUUGCAAGAUCAUUUUUACCAGAGCUUAUAUUUGGUAUGAGAUAUCAGUAAAGCAGUUUUUUUUUGUUUUUUUUUUGUUUGUUUGUUUUUGAGAUGGAGUCUCACUCUGUUGCCCAGGCUGGAGUGCAGAGGUGCCAUCUUGGCUCACUGCAACUUCUAUCUCCUGGGUUCAAGCAAUUCUCCUGCCUCAGCCUCCCGAGUAGCUGGGAUUACAGGUGCGUGCCUCCAUGCCCGGCUAAUUUUUUGUACUUUUAGUAGAGACGAGGUUUCACCAUGUUGGCCAGGAUGGUUUUGUUCUCCUGACUUUGUGAUCCGCCCACCUCGGCCUCCCAAAGUGGAGGGAUUACAGGGGUGAGCCACUGCACCCAGCUGUAAAGCAGAUUAUUAGGAGGAAUAGUUAACUAGGAAAAAAAGGACAAACAUCACAUUUCACUUCUAUCUGCCCUUAAGAAAUAUGACAAUAAUCUGAAAAAUUGUCUAAAAUACCUAGAAUGCCUUGAGAUCAAUUUGAUGACUUAUCUGUUAGACAACUAUACAGAAGGCAGAUCUCUUCAUUGCAAUGCCCCCAAGAAGGCCUUAAAGGGACUGUUUUCUCCGCUAUGUUCUAUCUAUCCUCACAGGUAGGACCAGCUAUACAAUUUUAUUAAGAAUUUUAAGACAAUGAUAAUAGAGCAUUAAUCCAGCACAGGACCCUUCUGACCUGAUUCUGUGCUACUACACAGGAUGUCUAUCUGUGAAGCUGGCCCUGCUGGAAGGGUCUGAUUUUACUCAUCUCUCUGCUCCUUUAGUGCUGGGUAAGUGAAGCAGAGGAAAGAGAAUGUAGAGAGACAGACAUGAUUGAAAACUUGGCUUUUUUUCUUUUUAAAUGUGUGGAUGUGAGUGGGUGAGUUAAAGUCUUUGUCUGUUGCAUGACACUGUUCAGAAAGUCUAAUGCUGCAUCUUGCACAAGAGGGUCUCAGUAAAUGGUUCAGGAGACUUUGGGUUUGAAUUCUAUAAAAACCUAGUCUGUUGUCCAGGUGACUAUGGCUCUAUUUGAGUGAGUGCUAGGUCAUGGUUUUAUGGGCUUUAUUUCAUUCUAUAGCAUACAUCCUAAUGUUAGCUUAUAAAUACAAUCAUGCAUUGCUUAAUAAUGGAGAUACAUUCUGAGAAAUACAUCAUUAGACAAUUUCAUCCUGUGGGAACAUCAUAAAGUAUACGUAUGCAAACCUAGAUGAUACGGGCUACUACACAGCUGAGUUAUAAGGUAUCACCUAUUGCUCCUAGGCUAUAAACCUGUGCUGCAAACCUGUACAGCAUGUUACUCUACUGAACAUUGUAGGCGACCGUAACACAGUGGUAAGUGUUGUGUGUCUAAACAUAUCUAAACAGAAAAGGUACAAUAAAAAUAUAGUAUAAAAAGUUUUUAAACUUGUGCACCCAUACAGAGCACUUACCAUGAAAAAAAAAGCUUUCAGGGCUGGGAGUUGUUCUGAUGAGUCAGUGAGUGUGUGUUGAGUGAAUGUGAAGGUCUAGGAUAUUACUGUACACUACUGUGGAAUUUUUAUACACCAUACACUUAGGCUACAUUGAAUUUAUAAAAAAAAAAAAAAGUAAUUAUGCCUCAGCAUUACAGUGGCUAUGAUGUCACUAUGCAAUGGGAAUUUUUCAGCUUCAUUAUAAUCUUAUGGGAUCACCAUCAUAUAUGCAGUCCAUCCUUGACUGAACCAUCGUUAUGUGUCACAUGACUGUGUACGAGUUUGGUCACAAGAAAAGCUGAUUGAGAAGUCCUGGAGUGGCUAAAUCCACUCUCAUCACAUAAAAACUAAUUCAGAAGGUUUGGCAGUAUUGUAUCUCUAUAUAGUAGGUGGCAUAUUGUUAUCAUUACAAAUAAUGGAAGAUUUUCUCCUUUCUUUUACUGUUUUAUAUUGCUUAACAUAUUCCAGAUAGGUAAUGGCAUUUAUGUCUUUUACUUUUUUGCUUUGAAUUGACAAUCGUAAUAUGUCUCUAAUCUAAAAGCCAAUGUCUAAAUUCCAAAUAACAUAGAAAUAAGGUGCUUCUUUGGAAAUCCUCAGUUAAAAUAAACUAAAAUAUCCUUUGUUUGAACUUCAUAUCUAAUGUUGGAAAAGUGGUUACCUCACCGAUCUGCUUCUAGUACUCACAUUUCUUUUCUUUUCUUUUUUCUUUUUCUUUUUUUCUUUUCUUUUUUUUUUUUUUGAGACAGAAUCUCGCUUAGUUGCCCAGGCUGGAGUGCAGUGGCUGGCGCGAUCUCAGCUCACUGCAAGCUCCGCCUCCCAGGUUCAAGUGAUUCUCCUGCCCCAGCCUCACGAGUAGCUGGGACUACAGGCAUAUGCCACCACAUUGAGCUAAUUUUUGUAUUUUUAGUAGAGAUGGGUUUUCACCAUGUUGGCCAGGAUGGUCUCGAUAUCUUGACCUCGUGAUCUGCCCUCCUCGGCCUCCCAAAGUGCUGGGAUUACAGGCGUAAGCAUCCAUGUGAGUACUAGGCUGGGUACUAGGCACCCAGCCUAGUACUCACAUUUCUAAGAAUAGACGUAAUGAAAACUAAAUAGGUGACCAAGAGAGAAAUAGAUUACACUCAUUAUUAAUUAUUCUAUAGCUGCAUGACAUGUUGAAGAAAGCUUUAGAUCAACAGUAAAAUUAGUUAAAUUAUCUGCCCUGAUUUCUUGUUACCCUGUAUUUAAGAUUUUUGCCCAUCCUUGGACAAAGUUGCCAUUGGAAAAAAGGAAAUGUCCCUUUGGACUUGGAUUUAGUCCUAAGAUAUUCUUCAAAUGUUGACUGACACCUGAAAACACACAUGGUUUUUGGAAUACCAUCUUUAAACAAGUGAAGAUAUUGAAGCCUAGAGAUAUGAAAUAAGUAUGCUGCCUAGUGUUAGGCACUUAAGCACGAUGAUGUUUCCAUGUUCACAGGAAAUGGAAAGAUUGUCUCACUGAAUAAAUGUUUGUUUCUCUUGGCGAAUAAGGAUCUGACCAGUGUAUUACUUGAUUGUAUUUAUUUUAUGUCCUUCUGUAGUUGUCUCUAUCAGUGUGUGGUUAGAUUUUUAACUCCCAAAUGGUGAAGCUGGUGCUUAGUGUCAUCUAAUAAUGUCUUUAAAUCCCUCUUUAAAUCUGGAGACCAGGACAUGCCUGGCUUGUUAUCAUUAUUAGGAAUCCAUUUUAAGAUUCAGGUUUCAUGUGAUACACAUGAAACACGAAGCCAGCCAGAAGCCACACUUGUAUUGGUUGUUUCCAUACCUUGCCUUUGACAAUGGCAUCAACUCUCACAAUUAGCAAUGUGGGAAUCAUAAGUGGAUGAAGGGGAUUGAUGACAUAGUACAGAAUAAAUGAUAUCCUCACAUAGGCCUUUCCUAAGAAGUAUUAACUGUAGGCAGCCACCACUCUAUCUGGAGGAAAAUGGAUCACCACACUGAUAAGCUUGAGACCUUCAAAAAUAAUCAUAAAUAUAAAGCCUACAAGGAAAAAUUAAUACAAUCAAAUAAACUUCAAAAGCUUAAAAAGUUUGCUUUCCUCCUCCCCAGCUUUAAUUUCUAUCAAAGCUAUGCUGUGAAAGCGUCAAAAAACUAAAACUCUACUAUGUUUAAAAUAUGUAAGAAACUGGCUGAUGAGAGAUUAUGGUGAAUGAGGUCUGAGAUGUUGCUGAAUCUCUGUGUGGCUGCCUUUGGCUUGAAAAUAAGAGCCUUUGUUUGCAGCCAUCACUAUUUUUGUUCCGUGGUGACAAAGUAGCAGUUUCAGAUAAAUGGCUGUGGGAAUAGAGAUGUGCCAGAAUUAGGGGAAGAAGUACUGCAUAGAUGAGAUUCACAGUAUAACACAGAAAGCAGCAGUGAUGUCACACAACAGUUCAGAGUUUGGAAUCAAUCAAACACAGGCAUAAUCCAGGCUCAGUCCUAGGUACAUUUCAGUAAGUUGUUCACUACAUCUGAACCUUAACUUCAUCAUCUCAUAAACAGGACUUAAACAAUCUACCUACCUACCUACCACGAUGGAUUGAAAUUGAAAUGGAGUGAUUUAAAGCACCAGAUCCAGGCUCAUAAUGGCCCUGGCACUUGCCAACCACAUAACCACGGGCAAGUUCCUGAGUCUAUGGACCUCAGUUUCCUCACUCGUACAAGGCAGGGAAUGCCAUCUACCUUGCAAAGUUGAUUUGACAAUUAAAGCUCCUGGAACAUAAUAAUUAAUAAAUGUUAGUUAUUCACAUUCAACAAAUACAUAGUGUGUGCCUACUAUUUGUGGGGCACUGCCCAAACUACUAAUGAAACUAAUGCACACAAAGUGCCUUGAGCAUAGAAGACACUCAAGAAAUAUUUGAUGAAUAAGAGGAAAGGCAAGCUUCUUGGUGUGUCCCUGAGAUUUGGUUAGGCUUCAGAUAUCCAAUCCAGUAUUCUUUAGGUGUCACUGGACAAAUGACUGGUUUUUGCUGGCAUUGCUAAUUCACAGAAAGUAGAGUCCAAAGUAUCCCUUUACCUAACAAUAAGACUCACAGGAAGAAAGGAAUGAUUCAUUGUACUUUUCUUUCUCUGAGGUAUAUUCUAUUGUCCUGAGGGGCAACAAGAAUCAGGUCAGCCAGAGGAGAAGACAAAAAAAUUAUCACAGAUUUUUUUUAAGAAGGCACUUAAAAUGGAAAAUGAAAUACAUAUUUUUCAAAAUUAAAAGCCAAUAUCUUUAUAUUGAGGUAACUAUGAGAUUAGUGAUUAUGAAAACCUUCAAUAAACGGUAAGCAGUAUUUGAUGUAUUCAUGCAUUUUUGCAGGGGAGAAAGAGGUGAUAGGUUUUAUAAAGUUUUAGAGGAAAUUGCUAUUCAUAAAAGGAUUAAGACCUACUGGAGAAUGAGUAUUGGAGAAAUAAAAUUAGGAGAUUAAAAUGAUUUUGAGGCCAAAGAUUAGAUGUAUGGAAUGUAAAUGUAAAUAUAAAGAAGGGUCUGAGUCAGAAAUAAGUGAUCAAGCUAGUUAGUUUCCAAAAGGGAUAAAAAAAUCUACCUUAGGGAAAGCAUUCUCUGCAUAAUUGGUGUCAAGAUGCAAUGAAGUCUGCUGAUCCACACAUCUCCCGAUUAAUUAGGGACUUGGAAGGUUUUUGAGAGAUCAAAAAUAUGCAUUAUGAAAACACAUUCUCAACAACAGUUUCAAUCUGUUGAUAAUUUUCAUAGAUUAAUUUGCUUGAAAUAUGAAACUCUAAAAACAGUAGACUUUGAAAUCAACAACAAAAAGAAAAAAUUGAUGUCACCUGAGUUGAGUAUUCAGUGCUGCUUUAAUGCUUUUUAAAACAAAGUAUGCCAACAUCCAUAGUGCAUAAACAAAGUAGAGUGACAUGGGUGCAUUAGCAUUUAAUGAAAACAAAUGCCAGGAAACACCCUUGAAAUUUCAAGGCAUUUUGUAAGAAUAGGCAUUAGGGAGGAUCUGAUGGGGUUAGAAUGGAUUGGUGUUUCAGAACAUUCUCUCUAUUGUUAAUGAAUGCGUGAAUCAGCCACUUAACUUCUAUUCUAUCUGAAACAUGGGGAAUUCCCCGGAAAAGAUUUCUUAAUACUCUAUCCUGAGCAACAGAGAACAUCUCAUGCUUUGCUCCAUUUCUCAAUUUACAUUUUUUUUUAAGUAGGAGUGGUAUAAGAUAAUGAUCAGGGAUGGGGGCAGAGAAUGGGCAUUAAAUUUGGUUUGUAGACUUAGUGUUUUCAAAUCCUGGAUUGUUUAAUAAUUUUAAAAACAGACAGAAAGUAAACCAAAUAUCUGAAAAUACAAAAUUAUUUUAAUAAUUAUUAUGUGUGCUUGUAUUUACAGACAUCUAGGUCUGUGUAAACUUUGACCUCUCACCCGUUUCUGAAUAUGUAUUUAUUCCGUCUUGAUUUCUCCUAGCAUCCAUUUCUCCUUCUAGGAGUAUCUCUCAGAUCUUUCUAAUAGAAUUAUCCCCACCUAGCUCAUCACAUAUUAGAUUAAGGUAGCACUAAUCCCCCAUCCCCAGCCUAACCAAAUUCCAGGGGGUUAUGACUUAGGUUAUGCAAUAAGAGUAUUUUGUCAUCUUGGCUGCAGUGACUGGCUCAGGGCCAGGCUUGUCCCAAGUCAGGCAAAUGAGACUCAAUCCCAAGAUGUAAGUGCCUGAAUUCUGUAGGGUUGCUGAGUUGGCAGGACAUGAAUCUGGACCUUCAAGGCCCCACUCUAGAGGACAGCCUUCUGAGAAUGAAGACAGAGAAUCACAGUGGCAUUUGGGCAUUUGCCUCCAACCAUAUCUGAAGCUAGAGAUACCCCUAAACUUUUUGACAUCUGAAUCAAUACUUUCCUUGUUCUUCCUUUUAGGGGCUAAGAGGUAGGAAAAGGAGGAGGUUUUUCUUGUAAAUCCAGUUUAGAUUUAGUUUAAUAAGUUUCUCCAAAGAAUGUAUACAAGAACACUCUCUAUUCUCUUUGCCUGGAAAACCUUCUUGUCUUCUCUUUACCUCCCAUAUGCUCAUUUUUUAAGGCCUAGCUCAAACCCCACUCCUUCCAGGAAGUCUUCCUUGAAUAUCCAGCCAGAUGAGCUCACCCUCCUUUGACCUCUUACAGCACUCAGUGUUUCUAUCCCUUAUCUGCCAGGAUUGUUGACCUUGUAGUGCUGGUUGUUGUUUUUUUUUUUUUUCAAGUGAUACUCUUAAUUCCUAAAAAGGUAAAGUCAGUCCUUAAAUGUUUUUAUUCUCCUCAGCCUUUGCCAAAGAAGGUUAUACACAGUAUGUGAGCAAUAUAUAUUUGUAGCUUUAAUUAAUGUGAUAAAAGUAGAUACAUUUUUUAUUCACUGUUGUCCAGGAUAAAACCUUGCAUAAAAUACAUGAUUGCAGUCAUAAGGAAGAUAAACAUCAGGGAUUGCAGCUUUCAGGAUGAUCCUAUCUCAUGUAAAAGGAAGGGCAAAUAGAGAGUAUUAGAAUUGUGACCUCAUGCGUAUUAUAUGGUGAACAUCUUUCAUUGCUAGGAGCAAAGAAGCUCAGUGUUAGUCUCUGCCAUUUAUCAUGUUUUACUCACAGUAUUCUCAACAUCAGAAGAGUCUUGGUCUUAUUAAACCAUAAUAUAUAUUUUAAUUAGGCAUUAAACUGAAACCUAUAAAUGAAAUAAAUCUCAGCUAUUAAAAUAUCUGAAUUCUCAGCACUCAACACCACCACACUUAAGAUCAUUUCAACAAAAUCACCAAACUUGCUUACCAGAAAGAAUGAUUGCCCAUGUCCUUACUUGAGCUCCCUGCUGCUGCAAUCUAUUUUUCUUGUUCAGUUCCCUGUUUUUCACCAGCCUCAUUCUACAGUCUGCCUGCCACUGGUUUAAAAACGUAUUCAAAUCAGUAGGCAAGCUGUAUUAGGAUCAUACUGUCCAGACUGUUCUAGCAAUGCUGAUGCAUUUAAUAUAAAUGCAUUGUGGACAUACUGUGUACAAUGCCUAAAGGAAGUCCGGCAGGUUGUAAACAAAGGUUCCACUCAAGAAAAAACUUAAGGCUUAACAGAGAAAAGAAACCUGAGCUCCAGUCUUUCUGAUGUAAGUGUAGGCAAAGUGAGUGUCCACGUUCCAGAAGUGUGAGUCUUCCCAGUCUCUCCCUGUCCACCCUCCAUCCUCCUACCACUCACAAACCUCCUCUUCCUUCCACUUUUGUGGGGCUGAGUUUAUCACAGAGCUGAAUGUGUCUAAAGAAUAGGAACCUGGGGGUAGUUAAAUGCAAUAACAAUUCUCCAAGUCUCACAGUAACUUAGAAGCCAAGGUUUCAAAAUCACAACUGUAUUUCUGGUCCCAGAUUCAGCCAUUAUCAGUCUUAUCACCAAUUAUAUUUUUCAUUGGGUAUGGGCAAAUUGUUUUCUGACAAGGUCAUUUCAAUAAAAUUGCUUUGAUUUUUUUUAAGUCUAUUGUCUCAAAUUCACAUUUCAUCAGUUUUGUCUCACAGAUAGGCUCAUGUAGCAUAAUUCCUUUUUUCAUCAUCUUCCAAAACUGAUCACUGCAAGAUUACUUUGUGAAUGUUUAUUUUCAUAUUCUCAUUGGUAACUGGUGGCACUUCAAGGUGAAGAAUGUGUUUUUCUUGGUCAUUACAUAUUUGACUAAUGCCAGAAAUUACUUCCAGUUGCUUACCUUGUUGCCUGAGAGAUUUAAGUUUGCUGCAUGAAAAUAGCAAUUUGAAAAGAUGAAAGUUUAACAAAUGCUAUAAAUAGCAACCAACGCUCUUGUCAUUAUCAUUAACUACAGCACCACGCCCACUUCCCUUUCUGUUGUCUGUCAUUAACUGUUAUAGCUGAAGUGAAACUUGUUUCUAGUACAAUCACUAGAAUGAACAAUGAAACCAUAAAGAGAUCAAAGGAUUAGUGAAAUAAUUUGUUCUCUUUCAUGCACGGAAAAUGAACCUGACUUUCAGGGAUUCAUACUGACCAAAGCUCCUUUUGAGUUCCAAAGUUUGCUGCCCAUUUCCUCUUCCACUUCCCUAUAAGGAAUGUCUCAAUUGCUCAGUUUAUGAAAUGUUGUAAAAAGAAGAAUGCUUAUGGUAAGAAAUUACUUCCUUAGGUGUCUGAAUGGGUAAUAUUUUCUAUACUUACUCUACAAAUCAUAAAACUAAGUCUUGUUGAAUAUCCAUACAGCACACAUUAACCAUUUCUAAAGUAGUUUCUUUUUACCAAUCUUGGAAAUGUAUUUAUACAAGUGCUAGAUUUGCAGGUGCUAUUACCAGUAGUUAAAUAUUUUUAGAGUUGAAAUGUUCCAAGCCAAAAAGGAUUUGGUUCUUCCCCAAAGCAAAACACAUAAUUGGAGAAUUGUGGCAAUGGUAGAUAGAGAUGUUGCCUUAUAAAAUCUUCUGUAAUAUGUGGCUAUUUAUUUGGCAUAUAUUUUCAUUAUGAAAAAAAUGAAUGCAGAAGAUUAUGGGGAACAAUAUAACAAACAUCCAUGUAGUCAUGACUGAGAAUUAAUGAUGUUAACAAAUAUUAUGUGGAAGCUAAAAUAAAGUUGAUCUCAUAUAAGAAAAAAGUAGAACAGAGAAUACUAGAGGCUGGGAAGGGUAUGAGAAAGAUAGGGAUGGGGGAAGAUUUGUUAAAGGAUACAAAAUUACAGCUAGAAAGGAGAAAUAAAUUCUAGUUUCUAUACCACUGUAGAAUGACCAUAAUUAACAACAAUAUACUCUAUAGUUUCAAAUAGCUAGAAGGAAGAUACUGAAUGUUCCCAGCACAAAGAAGUGAUACAUGUUUAAGAUGAUGGAUAUGCCAAUUACUCUGAUCUGAUCACUAUAUAUUACAUGUCUCAAAAUAUCACCAUGUACUCCAUAAAUAUGUACAAUUAUGUCAAUUAUUAAAAUUUAAUUUAAUUUUAAAAAAUUAACAUUUUGUCCUACUUAUUUCGAAAUUUUUCUUCCUUCCUUUUAAAAUAAAUUAGACAUAAAAAACAGCUAUAACGCCCUUCACAGCACUUGAUUUUGCCCUUUCUUUUCUGCUAAUGUUUUCAUGUGCUAGUUUAAUUAUUCAUCUUUAUGGUAAGUGUUUGAAAACAAAAGCUUGCUUGCCUUUGUUUCUUGUGCUAGUGACUAGCACAAUUUCUGUAGCAUAAUAGAUAAAUGCUUG